ACUGGUGGGUGUGCUUCCUCAGCGCCGCCUUGUCCUCGUCCUGGUGGUUCCGCGACGCCGCGUGGACCUCAUGCUCGUGGAUGGUGUGGAGCCCGUCGCUCUGAGAACGGGCCAUGAUUUUCUCCUCGGCACUCAGUGAGACAAAGCAGCCUUGCUGAAGCUCUUCCUGGCCCUGCCUCCCCGAUGCUGAGAUUAUAGGAACAGUGUGCCUGCUCUGCCACCAUACUAAGAUGACUAGCCACCCUGCAGUCUUGAACCAGAAAGGAAUCACAUUCACAGGUUCCCGACUCAGCGCCACGGCAGCCGGGGUUAUCACAAUCGCCUGCCAGAAAGCCAAACUUGCCCCUUCUAUACUCAGACUGUUACUUAAUUUUGUUUACAUCAUCAAAUAUUCUCACCAAAUCCCUAUCCUGCAUCUGAGAUGUGCUUCUUACAUGACAGUGUUACACCUGUAACUAUUAUCUCAUCGCUAAUCUAGUCUUACGGACUCUUAUUCCACUCCUUACCUCCUCCUUGCCAUUCUCUGUGCGGUGGCCCUGACCCAGCCCUGUCACUGUUCUGUAAAUGACUCUCCUCCUGCAGCCCUGCGGCUUCUCUUCACCACCUGACUGCCCACCCAUCUGCUGGAAAUAGUGUUUCUCACAUAAAAUGUAACUACAAUCAUUUCAUUCAUAUGUGGUUGGCUCUGUUUCAUUUCUCUUAAGUCCACCCUCUCUGGCUUCUUUUACCGGACCACCACCACAUUCCACAGAAAAGUUUUCUGGGAUUCUCAUCUUAACCAGUCCUCCUUUGAAGACAAGCAGUAGGAACCAAAGUGACCUGAAAUGAAACGUCCCUCUUGCUUAGACGGCAACUGGAGACCAUGACAAUCAAAGACUGCCAGACAACUCAUGCUGUAAGAAUUAGUCACCUCCCCUCAUCCUGGCUCGGAGAGCUGUUCCAAGUCUACUUUGUGUCAAAGGAACACACACAAAAAUGUAUGUGUGCAUGCACAUAAACACGCAGAGUACUGGGAAGAAAAAAAUUCCAUUUGGAAUUAACAUGAUGGAAGACAUUUGUAACUCUUGUCCAUCUGUAUAUAUAUGGGGGCUACCUAUGUGUCACUACCUCAAACAUACAGACGUGUACUGUGACAUUCUGUUUAGGCUAACGAGAACCAGUGUGAACAGCGGACGGGAGUAGCUCUAAAUCAGCUUUCUGACAGACACAGACAGCUGCAGGCAAUCAGGGUGGUGAAGCCAUCUUCUCCCAAGCAGUGUAUCCGUAGUAAAAAGAUUUACUAGUUCUAGAGUUUCCCUUGCUGACUCGCAAGCGAGUCUUAUUAUUCUGACUCCUUCUUCCCGCUGCUAUUUCUAUUACUGGCCAAGUUUUUAUGAUAAGGAAGGUAUUGUACAAAAAAGCUUCACCAUAGAUAAUAUAGCGAAAGUCACUUAAAACCAAAAGAGAAGACUCAUGAGACCUGUUUCCAUAUUCACUCUUAAGAGUAUAACUGGUCAGCGGCUUUCCUGUUCCGUAAGUCCUCAGGUAUGAUGAAACGCAGUCUCAGACACUGCUAGACUGUGACUUAAAGGCCAGAGUACACGCAAUGACGAAGCAACACAGGUCAGAGACAGGGAAAGGUAGAGAGGAAAUACACAGAACACCAUGCCAAGGAAAACCGCAUGUUCCGAAAGAGAAGCUGUUCUUUAGAGCUGUACCUAAUAAACAUUCGUGAAGG